UGGGCAACAAGAAUGAAACUUUGUCUCAAAAUUAAUUAAUUAAUUAAUUAAUUAAUAAUAAAUCAAACAUCUUCUCCCCUCACAACGUAAGUUUUGAGUGAUGACUUGCAUGAAGAAAUGCGUAAUAUCCAGUUUGGAGCCCUAUUCUCGUGGUUCGGGUGGUGAAUUACAAUAUAAUUAAGCAGCCUGCUUAAUGAUCAAUUGGAUUAUUUUGUUUGCUGCCAAUUUAAGUAAUUAGAGAAUUGCAAUGAUCACUCCAAUUAAAGUGAUUGCUUUACGGCACAACCUUGCCUUUUUUACCUGUGAUAUUUAGAAGAGAGAAAAAUGUUAUUCAGCAGAGGCCUCCCCGGACAGGUUAGGCUCAAAGCUCUUCUGCACAGUUGUUAGUUCCUCCUCUACUUAGACAUUCUCUACACUCCUCCUUCCGUACUCUGGAGUUAUACCCUGCAAGCCAGCCUGCUUGUGAAUUCUGCAGAGACCAAAACCUUCCCUCCAUGGGAGGAAGGGCAAUAUUUAUCAUGCUUCAGUGGUGGCUGGAGAGGUCGAGAAACUUGCACAGACACAACAUAAAACUGCGGGUAGCAAAUGUGAAUGGUGAGCCACUGUCAGAAGCAAUUACAAAGGGAGAUUACAUUGCAAACUCUGACAUUAAAACCUGUGUAAAUAAUACAUCCAAUCUGAUGGGGGCCAGGGCCUGCUUUGGCAACUCCCUGCCAGUUCUUGGGUCUGGGCUUCCGUUCUCUCUCAGCCUCUCUGGGCCUCUGAUAAGGGGAAGGCUCCCUGGGUCCCCGGGCUGCACAGGUUCUUGAGGACUGGUUGCACUGCCUGGCCUGGGUCUUUCCUUGGCCAGCGGCACCCUGUGUUUUGUGCAGAACUGACUAACUCUGCAUUAACCUUCUUCACCCUCUUUUUGAAGUAGCAGAUUCUCUGACUCAGGCCUCACAAACUCUCUCACUAAAGGAGUAUUUUCCUUCUAGCUUUUUCCCCCCGGACUUCUGGCCUUUGACUGUGGAACGGGACAGAAGGAAAGACAUAGUUCUAUACUCUGAAUUUCUCUACAGAAAUCUGAAAAUGGAGCUUCCUGCAAAGAGAAGCCUGGGGCUCCAUCAGCUGCAUCUUGUGGCACAGCCUCGAGUUCGGCUCCGGGCUCAGCUCAGAGUGCGUCUGCCAUACAUCAGGAACCCUACGUAGUGUCAGGAGCUUGCUGUCAUGUCACCCACUUACCCAUACAGCUGCAUGAGCUCACAGGAUUAUCUGCAUUUGCAGAUGUGGGACUAAGGCUCUCAGGGCUGGAUAGCUCCAUGGCAUGUAGCCAUGAAGUAAGCGGGGACAGUGAGAAUCUGACUGAUGACUCUCUGGCUGUGUCAGUGCAUGGAUAUGCUCUUUUAAAGACGAUGUGGACUUUGCCAGGCACUUACUUAACUAAAGUAGAAUUGGGGAUAGGAUAAGUACUAACAUGAACCCUGAGAGGCAAAGUAGGGAUGGAGGAAGCGCAAUUGCUCCUCUGGGCUCUGAGAUACUCGCGUCUUGGAUUCUUAAAGUUGAAGCAGAGACAGAAGAGGCUCUGUUUGGCAUAACUUAAGUGACUUAACUAAUUAUUUGCUGUAGUAUAUCCAUAAGGUAUCUAUAAAUUAAUGAAGCUUAAUUAACUUAAUUUAAAUGCCAAAUGAAUAUUUUGAUUGGUGAGAUUUUAUUGAUAUGACAAUUCAACUAGGACAUUAAGAGAAGCAAAUUACAUUAAUUUGUAAAUACACUUUAGAUCAUAAAAAUCUAUAGUAAAUCAUAAUGCUAACUUCAGAAGCAAUUGAAAGGGUUUUAUUCGAAGAUAAAAUUACACAUGUAAAUACUCUCUUAUAAUUCCUGGAACAUAUUAUAUACAGUAUAAACAUUUGCCUAAAAUGUAGCUAUAUUCUUAGCACAGUGCAAUUUUAAUGAGUCUAAUACGGAACGGGUCAGGUAACAUGUAUAUAAGUCUACUAAACUGUCAUGGGGUGAAUUAUGGAUAGUUGCUCAAGACAUAACAAAAAUGUGAUUUUUCUGAAAUGUGAAGUACAUUCAUUACAAGGGGAUUUGUUACGUGUUAUAAACCAGUUUUAUGAAAAGAUUUAGCAAUGCGUUUCUAAAUUUUAUAAGCCAGGAAACACCACUUAUCUUUAAACUUUAGGUAGAAUUUCCUCUGCAAACCAUUUCAGCUUUUUUUAUCUUGCCUGUGUUGCUUUUCAUUUACUAUAUAUUGAUGAUAUUGAAGAUUCAUCUAUUUAUAUUUAUGAGAGCUGAGCCUGUAAAUCUUAUAAACUGAAGGAAGGCCUUUCAUUUUAAAUUUUAGUUAUUAAAUUUUAACUACUGAUUUCGUAGAUAACAAUUCAGAGUAUUUAAGAGAAAAUUAAUGGGUUUAUACAUUUAAGCUCUAUUUAAUAUUGUGCACAAUAUUUUAAUAUUAUAUAAACGACAGUAAAUCACUGGUAAAGCACACAUCUUUUACUUCCUAAAAAUGUGAUGUAAUUCUGUCAACCAUAUUCUAAGUACCAUAAGAUUAAAGAACAAUAAAAAACUUGCACCACUUUAUACAAAACUAGAAUAUAAUUAUUCAUGCUUUUUCCUUUUAUAAUAAAGUCCGAAUCAUUAUGAAUAUAUGUGUUAUAGUGCCUUGAAUAUCAAACAGUGAAGUGGGACUGACCCUUAGAAAGACUGAGGUGGGGACUCCGUGGUGCCUGUAAGUGGUGUUCCUGGAUCCUCAGCUUAUGAGAAUGUUAAUACACAUAAAUGAGUCCAGUGUGUGUUUGUAGACUGAUGGACUCCUGAUUUUCUUAUCUUUUGGAGUAACAUUUAAAAUCACCACAUUCUCCCCUGUAAAGAAGGAAAUUCUAUUAAAUUAGCUGUGCGUUUUCCUAAUAUUAUCUAAUUUGCUAAUGCACAAUUUGCCCGAUGCAUUAAUCUACUUAAAUAACGAUAUCAUAUUUUGAAACUAAAUAGUAACCAUGAGGUAUAUUUAUUGACACAUGUUGCAUUUCUAUUUAUUUAUUUGUUCAGGAAACAUUUGUUGACUGUAGCAGGCAAUGACCUGGGUGCUGAGAAUAUACUAAAAAGAAUAGAUAGAGUCUCACUUUCCAAAAAUUUACAUUCUGCAUAGAAUGUAGUAAGGGAAUAUGUCUAUCUCAGAAUUAAUUUCUAACUCAUAUAAUGCAGCUUGAAGAUAUUGGUCUAUUUAUCUUAGAUUUCCCAUGCAUUUUCCUUUAGUACACCUCUGGAGGGGAUAUAUUCUUGUCAAGAAAUGUCUGUUUACUUUCAUAAUUUUUACUUCUUGACACUUUGAAGAAGAUGUUUAUUAACCUUUAACAGCAUAAUUAGAGGCUAUUUUCUUAUAAUUAAAACAAAAGCUUAAAUAGAUUCUGAUUGUUUUAUUAACUACUUGCUCUUAGGAAAGAAAAUUUAAUGACUGAAGAAUAACUCUAAGAGGUACAGAGUAGACCUGAUUAGUGUAAUAAAUAACCUUGUUAGAAACAUAUUCAUACUUUAACAGAAAUAAGUAGAACAGAAGAAAUACUGCAAGGAUUAUGGAGAGAGGUUUAAGAAAAGAGGUCACUAAGAGGUUACUGUUAAUUUCAACAUCAAGGGCAAGAGUCACAUAUUUCAUGAUUUUGAAACUCCAGAAAUUAUAUGAAUCACUCCUCAGAUUAUGAUUAUAAAGAUGACAGCUUCCCAACCGUCAAUCUUGACAGUUGAAAAAAUAAUAGUAGGGGCACAAGAAAUGAUAACUUUACUCGAUGUAAUAUUCUAUUUAAUAAAAUAAAAUGAAGUUUUACAUAUUUAUAUAAUUGCCUUCACAUUUAUGAAUUGCAGAUAUUGUAUCUCAUUCAUUUCUGUCCCUAGCUCAAAAUUAAGGAGCAGUGAAGAGGUAGGGUUUGUUGUGUUGUCAUUAUUGUUUUAAAAUUACUGUGGAUUCACAUAAUGAUGAUAAAGAUAUGAUUAUCGACUUCAGAAAGCACACAAAACUGAGAUGCUAAAACACAAAUAAAUGGGAAUUUGCAUAAAUAUAAGACAUAAAUGCAAUGGUAUGUAAAUAUAGGAUUCAAAUAACUAACAAAUAGAGUGUUACUUAAACCUGAGAUUCAGGUAACAGAUGUCUUCGUUCAUAGAAGAGACGUCACAAGAAGUGCAUAAACUUGAUUCUGCACAUGUACUUCAGACGCAGUACGACCAGAGAGAGAGAAGAAUACAGCAAGGUUCUGGUGAUAGUGAAAGUGGAAAGGUAGAAGUGAGAAAGGACACAGCAGUGAUUUCAGGAAAAAAUCAGGUUACAGGUACCACAUACGGGGCCACAGGUAUAUGUACUUUAUACAGGAAGAACAACAUAUAAGGAUAAAAAGAGAGACUAAAGGGGAAACAACAGCACAAACAAUAAGUUUUUUUUUUUUCUGAAUGUCAAUAAAUAGUGAAAUAACCUCAAAGUUAGAGAAAAACUUCAAUUCCAGAUCAGAAUAUUUGAACUUCAUCUCAGGUCACCUGAGCCAGGACCUAAACUAACAUUAUAGUUCAUUGGUCUAGUUAUCCUCUUUGGUAUGCAAAACUCACCCUUCUUUCCUUUUCAGCUCUUCACAUUCUUAAUCAAAGAAAUGUCUAAGGAAGACUAAUGACUUAUUUACAAAAUUGUCUGAAACAAGAAUAACUGAAAAUUCAGAAACCCCUUUUAGUAUUCAAGAAGUGCUACAAUGAAGGGUCUGAACUGAGGUAGUGAAUUUUGAAUAACGAGGAAAAGAUCAAUGAGAGAGAUGCUGGCGGACAAGGUUGUGACAUUCUGGUGACUUAGACUAUAAUUAUGAAAGGGGGACAGGAUCAGAUGUCAUCCCAGUGUGUUAAAGUGUUAACAAAAUGAUAAAUUAUUCUAUGUAUUAAAAAUGAUUAGAAAUCUCAAAGCUUCACUCAGUUGUUCAUUUAUAUUUAUUUUAACAAUAAAGAUGGAUGAAUUCAUAAUGAGUGAAACAAUCGGAGCCCUAGUAGCACAGAGAAGUCCUUAGCCCAAGGUAUAGAUUCAGAGACAGUGAGACUUGGGAGGGAGGUGAGCUCUGGAGCUGAAUUUAAAUGAACUGGAAAUUAACCAGGAGGACACAGAAGGAAGAACGUUAAGACAAAGAGAGGAAUCAUUAUCCAAGAAUGUUGUAAAAAUGUACAGUAAAGUCCCUCAAAAGUAGCAAUAUCUGGAAUGGCUUUGAGGAUGUGAUGGUUUCAAUGCUGUCUAAAGUGGUCAUUUUACUUAAGCGAUUAUGGGUCAUCAUUUGUCUGAUGAAGAAACAUCAGACAAAUGCAAAGAUAGUUUCUAAAAAUUUAAUGGUCUAUCUUUCUUAAAAAAUGCCAAGGUCAUGAAUAGCAAAGAAAGACUCAGUAAGUGUUCUAGACCAAAUGAACAGAAUAGUUGACAGGAAAUACAAUUCUUAUUGGAAACUGGAUUGGAUCCUGUAUCAGAAAAAAAAAAAUGAAAAGUUGCAUAAAGAAUGUUAGUGGGAAAUUGAGGAAAAUUCCAUAAGCUCCAUGGGUUAGAUAAUAAAAUUUAACAAUAUUCAUUUCCUGAUUUUGAUCCUUGUAGUAUGGUUAUGAGAAGAUUGUUCUUGUUUAAAUAAACAUUUAAGUAUGUAGUGGUAAACAGGCAUUAUAUCUGGAACUUGCUCUCAAUUAGUAUACAAAAAAUAUGUAUACACAACCAUAUAUACACACUGAAUAAUAAAGUAAAUGAACUAACAUGUUAACAUUUGGGGAAUCUGGUGGAGAGAUGUAUUACAUUUCUUUGUACUAUUUCUGCAACUUUUCUGGAAGAUACAUGUCUUCAAAAUUAAAGACUGAAAUUUGUAUGUAGUUCUCAGAGCUGAAUUUGAUACCUUUGUAUUGAUUAAUCUCACCUGAUGUGAAACCUAAUUUUUAGUUUAUGUUCUUAGAGACUCUUAAUGGCAACCUCUUAAAAAUUUCAGGUUUAUUCAAUAUACAAAUAUGAAUACAGCAAGUAGCUCUAUAUUUCUUCCACUUAAAAGUAUAUAAAUCCUUCAUAUUCUCUUUACUGUAAUCACUGCCAGUCCCACUGUCACCCUCAAUUGAUAAAUGUAAGGAAUGAUGUCAUAGAUUAGUGCAACAGAGAUAUUAACUUCUACUGAUUUUGCUCAAAGGUAAUUAAGCUUCUUUGCAUUUAGCAAUUCCACAUCACUGUUAUUGGCAAAAGAACAUGUUUGUAAGGUAACCUUUAUUAUCUGAGGUGGUAGAAUGUAAAAAUCAUCUUAGGUCCAGGAUUUUGGAGGUAAAAGCUCAUAUUACACAUCUAUAGUCAAUAUGUUAAUAAAUUACUUGGCCGAUGUGCAAUUAUGGUAUUUCUUGACCAAGAUGCACUUUUCACAAUUACAUUUCUCACCCAGAAACUGCAUAAUACUUAUAUUUGGAUUCCCAAAAUAUGACCAAAGCUGUCUUUAUAAUAAAAUUUUUUAUUUUAUUUAUAUGUAUAAUACAAACACACACACACACGUGUGUGUGUAUGGCUAGAUAUUCCUCUACAAGUUCACAGGCUACAAGUAGAUAGUCAAGAAGGACAUCAAUGGGUCCAACAGAACACGCUUGGUGCUACCUGUGGGUUGCUAUGGAACUAAGAGGGGAGCAGGUCAGGGCCCAGAACAGUCUGGAAAGCUUAAGGAACCAUCUCCAGCAGAGUAUGGCAGUUGAUAGAUUGUGGAGGGGGAGGAAGGACACUCAUACAUUGUGGGUGGGACUGUAAAUUCAUUCAAUUAUUGUGGAAAUCAGUGUGGUGAUUCCUCAAAGAGCUAAAAACAGAACUACUAUUCAACCCAGCAAUCCCAUUACUGGAUGUAUACCCAGAGGGAUAUGAAUCAUUCUAAAGACACAUGCAUGCAGAUGUUUUUUCAGCACUAUUCACAAUAACAAAGACAUGGAAUCAGUGUAAAUGCCCAUCAAUGACAGAUUGGAUAAAGAAAAUGUGGUGCAUAUACACCAUGGAAUACUGCGCAGCCAUAAAAAAGAAUGAGAUUAUGCCUUUUGUGGGAGCAUGGAUAGAGCUGGAGGCCGUGGUCCUUAGCAAACUAACACAGGAAGAAAAAACCAAAUACCACUUGUUCUCACUUAUAAGUGGGAGCUAAAUGAUGAGAACUCAUGAACACAAGGGAACAACAGACCCUGGGGGCUACUCGAGGAUGGAGGGUGGGAGGAGGGAGAGAAGCAGAAAAAAUAACUAUUGGAUAUUGGGUUUCAUACCUGGGUGAUGAAAUAAUCUGUACAAUAAAUGCCUGUGACACGAGUUCACCUAUAUAACAAACCUGCACGUGCACUCCUGAACCUAAAAUUUAAAAAAAAUAGGAAGGGGCUUUCUAGACAAGCAUGGGCCAUCUCCUAUUUAUUUUUUCCUAAUAGAGUGUUCACUAUUCCUUAAUUACUUGUGCUACUACUGCUGGUCUUGCAGUCGCAACCCUUCUCUUUAAAUUUUUUAAACACUGUUUUGUUCUACCAAUAAUCUCAUCAGAUUAUAGACUAUAUGAAUACAUUUCAAUUUAAGAGAAGUGGGUAAUUACCACUCUGUUAAAUGCCGUGUUGUCCUGGGUGAAGUUGCUCUAAUGUGGCCCCAAGUGCUUAGGAUGAUAUAGAUGCAAGGACAGUGUGUGUGAGCCAGGAGCAUAGGCCUGUGUUCUAAACUGGCUUCACCAUGUGCUGCAUGUAUCAUAACGGCAAAUUGUGCCUUGGUAACCUCAUCUGUAAAAUGGGGAUAAUGGUAGUUGCCACCUCAUAAAACUGUAGUGAGGAUUAAUUAAACUAAUCCAUGAAAAGUACUUUACAGAGUCCUUAGCCAAUGAGAAACAUUCAAUAAUUAUUAACCAUGUUAUUAUUCAACAAUUGUUUAAAAAUUUGGUAACCAACAGAUGAUAUUUAUUAUAGACUCUUAAGUUCCAAAGUAAUUGAAAUUUAACAUUAUUCUAGUAAAUAAUGUCAAAUUAAAGAAUCUGGGAUUUUAUAACAAAAUUCAAUUUUUCUGGAUUUCAGUUUCAAUAGAACAGUUUCUUUCAGGAAAACACCUGAACAACUUUUUCACCCUCUGUCACAGAAAUAUUAGAAAUCAUGUUAUUAUACAUAUGAGGCACUCUUCUGAUGUGGUUGAAGUCGAAGAAUGAAUGUUGUUAUUUGUACUUUCUGUUUAUAUAUUGUGAUGAUUAUCAAUGCUCAUCAUUUAUUGGACACUCUCAAAGUGUCAGGCAUUGAACAAAGAUGUUUACAAAUAUGUUAUUUAAUUUUCAUAACAAAACUAUGAUACAGGUAUUAUCUCCACUUGCAAAUGAGCAGCCUAAGAUGGUAAGAGAAGUCAGGUGACUCCAUAAUGGUCACACAGCUAAUAGUUGAGUUGGGUUUAGAAUACUAGGCUUGCCAAUGUUUAUCUGUAAAUUAUUCUCCCAUAUUUCCUCCAAUACCAUAAAAUGGCAUUUAUUAUAUUAGGCACUCAAGUAUACUGAGUGCUGCAGGAAGUGCUACUUAGAUGUAUAAUGCAGUAUACACACACAGCUUGGUAGUCGUAUAUCACAAUAUUUGUAUUAUUUCCUAAAAGGUAAUUUUACUGAUAUACUACAUCAGUGGAAUUUGUUUACUUUUUAAAUUUAGGCAUAGAUGGAAAGCUAGCCGGGAGAGAGACAGAGAGAGAGGGCGGGAGAGAGAGAGAAACCACAAAAUAAUUAAGCUUGCCUUAUAGAGAAAUAUUGAUUUGUAUUAGCAAUGGUUCAGGUUUUAGCUCGAGCUCUUUUGCCCCCUGGAAGUGCAAAGAAAAAGGCCAAUGUAGAACUUGAAUCUACAAAUGAAUGCAGUAUUUAGGAGAGCUGAUCCUAGUUUAAAAUGAAAUAACUCAGCCCAUUAUAUUCUGGACAUAUCACCCAUGAGGUCAAUUAAGAGGAAACAUGUGAGAGGAUUUCUGGGCAAACCUGUGCUGGGAAAGCCUAGCCUGGAAAACCUUAGCAGGGUGUGUUUGUGCUUCGUAUUGAUUCCUCCUGCCUUGAGGACAAAUGCAGUAGGUGUGUGUUAUUAUAAGAGCACUAAGUUCAAGUGGCAGCUUUCCCUCUUUUCAUGAGGCCUGUCUGCAGAGCAGCAGGAUGGAAUAAAUCGCAAUGGGCUUUGUUGGCACACUGGCCCCAGGGUGCAAGAGGCCAAGUGGGUGUUGGCAGGUUUAUCGGGUUGUUGGCUAUAACUGCUGGGAAGAAUGAAGGCCCAGCGGUUUCAGGUGAUCUGCCGAGGACCCUGGGGAAAGCUGAAAAAAUGUUCUCCAAUGCUUGACCCAGAGCCCAGAACACUCCAGUAUAAAGAAAGCCCCUGUUUUUAUCUAACAAAGACAAGCCUGGAAAAAUGCAACAUCAUUUAAGAUGUUUGCUAUGAGGAAGAAGUCUGUACAGAGGCAAACUAGUUAUCAGGGAUAUUAGUUAUUAGGGAGAUUAGCAUUUACUCAUGCAAUUCCAGGGUGUUAGGAGGUUCAGGAAGAGAGUCAUACAUAGAAUCCACCCAAUGGCUUUCUUUUUCAGUCUAUACCAUCUCGCACUGCCUAUCUUGCCUGUUUCCACCCCACACUGCCCACAUUCUCCCAGCAUCAUUCACAGCCACCUCUUCCCAUUGGGAUGCGUCGUACGUCUUGCUUCCUCACCUUUUCAGACCAUGCUGGUUCCUGCUUGGAAAUGACACUUGACCCUCAGCUCCAUAUCUGCUCUGACCCUAUGGGUCUUUCAGAUCUCAGGCUCCAACUGUCCUUCAGGGAGUUCUUGCCUGACCUAGUCCUUCCUUCCUGAGAUAAACACAGACAUCUCUGGUUUGCUCUGCUGUAGUCUAUUGGCUUUCUCAAGCUACCAUCACAAAACACCUGAAUUCAGGUGGCUGAAAACAACAGAAAUGUAUUCUCUCCUGCUUCUGAAGGCUGGAAGUCUGAAAUCAUGGUGUUGGAGGGUCUGUGCUCCCUUUGAAGGCUCCAGAGGAGAAUUUGUUUCCUGCCCCACUCUCAGCUUCCAGGUUGCAGGCUAUCCUUGGCUUGUGGGUGCAUUGCUGCAAUCCCUGCCUCUGUCAGCACACAGCACUCCCCCUGUGUCUCUCCAUAUUGUCUCCCUCUGCAUGUAUCUGUCUUUAUGUUUCUUCAUCUUAUGUGAAUGCUCUUUAUAUGGGAUUAGGCUCCACCCUAGGAACUGCAUCUUAACUUGACUGCAUCUAUAGAGACCUAUUUCCAAAUAAGAUCACCUUUAUAUGUACUAAGGGUUAGGACGUCGGCAUAUCUUUUGAGGGGGCAACUUAGCCCAUAACGCAGAACAAAACUGUGUGUGUUCCUUAGAGAAUUCAGCACAGUGUGUCACUGUAUGUUUAUUUUUGUGACUGUGUUGUCGCACAGUCAUGAGCCUGUCUUCUGCAGAGGACGGUGAUCUCCAUUCUGUUCACCUGUAGCUCCAGCUCCUCACAUGGUGAUUGACACAGAAUUGAUGUUCCAAAUAUUUUAUGAAUGAAUCUCUUUUCUACUUCUCUAGUCAUGUGCUGAAUGCUCCCCACUUUUUUUCUCCUUCAAGGCAGGGAUGAAAGUCCUGUCACAAAGCAUUAGUUGGUGUCAAUAAUAGGCUUCUCCCUGGAUCUGAAAAGAAACUUAAAAAGCUGCUACACUGAGAUGAUUAUAGAACCAAGGGUCCUGUGAAGGGUCAUGGCUAUCGAGUGCCCGUGGUGGCAUUUUGGCCAGUUAAAUCAGGAUAUGGACUGUGGGGUUCUAAACUUGUCUAAGUUUAGCAGCAAAAAUGGUUUAGAUGGAACUAGAAUUCUGACUUCAGAAAUUGCUCAUGCUUCUAUUUUGUCUCUGAGAUAUAAUUUUGUUUAUUCUAGUGAAAGAGUUGGGCAAAAUUGCAGUUUUUCUUUAUUUUUAAUAGUUAACACAUCUAUUUUCAAUUAUGGCUUGAGUCAUUUGAAAUAAAGUAGUCUCUGAACUGGGAAUAUAUGGCAUAUUAAAAUAUCACAAAUGCCAAGCUUUCCUAACUCAAUGAUAUUGCAAAGUCAAAAUGGUAUUUUCUUUCGGUAUCCUAGAGAGUGUCUGUGUUUGAGGCCACUUAGCUAAAAGCAUGCAUCAGCCCACCUCUUUAUGUGAGUGAAAGAGAUAGCUUAUUUAGAAUGAAUUUCAUAAUUUAGAUUGCUCUGCAUAUGGCAUGCUAUUAUCAUGUUUGUACAUUUCAAUUAUCUCAUUAAUUCUAGCAGAAGGGUGCCUUCUGAUAUGUUUGAGUAUCAAAAUACAUUAUGUUUUGACUUUUAGAUUGUUGUUCCGACUGUAAACAUCACCCCUACUCCACAGGUAGAUUUUUUAAAAAAUUGGUUAUAUAGAAUUGAUGAUAAAAAUAUUUUAUCAACCAUAGAUAUUUUAACACUAAAUUGCCACUAUAUUUCCACCAUUUCAUUUCUAGUUUUCUCUGCACCUCUGAAUCGCUCUUUAGUUUGAGAACUCUAGAGGUUUUAGAGUUGGGUACAUAUGUGUAUAUAUGUGGGUAUAUAUGUGUAUAUAUACACAUAUACAUGUAUAAAUGUGUGUGUAUAUAUACAUGUAUAAAUGUGUGUGUAUAUAUACAUGUAUGUAUGUGUGUGUGUAUAUAUAUACGUGUAUAUACGCGUAUAUAUAUACCCACACAUCUAUAUGCAGACCGUUCCCAAUUUAUGGUUCAACUUACACUGUUUCAACUGUGUGAUGAGUUUAUGAAAGGAUCAGAUACUUUAUUGACAGAAUACUUCUUACUUGUGAUGGGUUUAUUGGGAUGCAACUCAGUCAAGGAGCAUAUGUGUAUAUAUGGCAGAUUUUUUUCUAGGAAGAUAUCUAAUAAGUGAAUACCUAUUAUGGCUGAAUUGUAACUGCCUCUUUAUAUAAAAAGAACAGGACAGACGUGGAUCCUUUUCUCUGUGAGUGAGCCUGAAUAGUAUCUUAAGUUAAUUACAAUUGAAUUCAUGACAUGUGGUUUUUUUGUUUUGUUUUAUGGUUGUUGUAAUUUUAUAUAAAGUGGGCUAAAUGAAAUCAUAACAUAUUAUGUAGCAUUAGUUUUAAGUUUCCAUGCUAAACAUACCCUAAUUUAUAUUUUUUCCUUAUACCUUAAUUUACAUUUAAGUUUAGUUUUAGUGAUAGCCCUUUUAAAUGUAAAUAUCUUUUUCAAAAGAUAAUCAUUUGGCUCUUAAGUUAAUAUUCAGGUAGUCUGUUAAGUAGCUUUUGUUCAGAAUGCAAGUAGAGUGAUUUCAACUAAUAUAUCUGUCUGAAUGAAUUAAGGGUCUUUAGUAAACAGAUAUAAGAAACAUGACAAUAGUGUUUGCGAAGGUGAUAGAACAGUGAUUAUUAUAAACUGUGAGGAGAAAAGUUGUGACAAAUGGACAAAAGAACAUUUAUAUAAUUAUCAAGAAAUAUAAACUAUUUUGAUGCCAUGGUUUCUAAUGUUUUGGAAACAUGACUUAAAAUGAUAAAUGAUAGUGUCUUUUUAGUUGACUAAACUUACAAUAUGUUAAUAGAUUUUCUAAGAAAAAUUUGAAGCUAAGAAUUCAAAUUUACUUGCUGAGUAGCCAUAUGGAAUUAUCAGCAUAUAUUCCAACAGCAAUACAUAUAGAACUACUAACGUAUUGUUUUAAUUUUACAUUUAAUUGACAUGGUUUAUUGAUGGAAACUUUUGGGCUCAGACUUUAUACUAAUCACAUGUCAAAUAAAUACAUUUGAUUGAGUGGAGAUACUGAUAUUGAUGUCUGGUUCUUUUAAGUGAAAAAGUACAUUUGGAUCAUAUCUGAUUCAACUAAUUUUUUAAAAACAGCAUUACUGACUUAUAACUGACAUACCAUACAAUUCACACAUUUGAAAUAUACAAUUCAGUGGGUUUUAAUAUAUUCACAGAUAUGUCAAACUAUCACCACAGUCAAUUUCUGAACAUUUUCUCAUUACAAAGAGAAACUCAGUUUCCUUUAGCUACUACCUUUCUACAGUGUCAUUGCCCCCCUCCCCCACCAGCCUGAAGCAACCACUCACCUACUUUUGUCCCAUACAUUUGCCUAUUUGGAAUAUUUCAUAUAAAUGGAAUCAUAUAAUAUGUGGUUUAUUGUGUCUUGUUUCUUUCACUUAGCACAAUGCUUCCCAAGUUCAUCCAGGUGGUAGCAUGUAUCAGUACUUCAUUCUUUUUCAUGACUGAAUAAUAUUCCAUUGUACAGAUAAACUACAUUUUGGUUUUCCAUUCAUCCUUUGAUAGGCAUUUGGGUGGUUUUCACUUCCUACAUUGGGAUAUCAAAUUCAAAAGCCUUCAGGGACCAUCCAGGCAAUAAGAAUGAGAGAAGCAAGCUAGGGCUCCACAGAGACCUUGAGGUUGUGGUCAGCUCCACAGUGCUUGUUUUCUGAAACUUCUCUAUUCAUAGUUAUCAAGGAAUCUUUUGGACUUCUUGGCAAAGUAUAUAGAACUCUGGAGGGUGGCCACACUUAGUUCUUGGAGCUAUACUUAAAAUCUCACUGAAACAAAGCCAUCAUCAUUGAGGAAUAGAGGUUCAAUCAAUAAGUAUAGCAGAGUCUGCUGCUCUUCUUUAUCCUAAGGAAACAAUAUUUUUUCUUUUCUGUAUCUGUUGUUCCAUGUUUAUAGUAGAAGACUAUCAUGUCAUUAUCAGUAAAGGCACAUGCAGACACCUGCACACACACACAUAUAUCACCAAAAUAAAAAUAAAACUGAAGGGCACAGUGCAUAUAUAAAGCUAUAUGCAUUUAAAGUCAGUAUCAGAUCAUAAGGGCUUUGGUGUGGUCCACAGGGGAAAAUCUUGUGCCCUCUCUGUCUUUCCAUCCCUCCCUUUCUUCCUCUCUCCUUCUCUUUCUCUUUUUAAACUCAAAAGAGAUUGGUCAUUCAAGAAUUCUGAGUUAUGAAUUCGACUAUUCUUCUCUUUUGAUUAAAUGCCCUUCUUUUUAUCUAGCAAAUGAAGGAAGAGAAGGGGUACUUCUGCAGACAGAGACAUACUGAAUUAAUGUCCUUAAACAACAACGGUGUUUAGGACAAUGUACCAUCCAUGCUGGAACAGCCUCUUCAAAAGCAAGACUAGAAGAGCAGCUCCAGUAACCAGCCUCAUCUUUGAAAUAACAAAAAUGUGUUUUCAAACAGACAUGUAACGAUCCAAGCUUUUUAUUUUUUGACAGUUGAAUAAUUAAUUGCAGUACAUUUGUAAGGUUAUUAAAAGCUUUGGAUUGAGUAGGGAAAAGUAAAGAGCAUGAAUCUUGCUUUUCAGUUUUUGUUUAUUACAAGAGGCUGUCAGAGCUGUUUUUAAUUCAUUUAAUAUUCUUGUUAAUAACAAGUCUAAUUAAGAAAUCCAUUAGAAGUCUGUAAAGUUAAUUUAACAGGGGUAUGUCCUAAUGAAGUGUUACUGGAAUUGUCUUUUUAAAAAGGGUGCCAUAGUGUUUCAUGGAUUCUUAAGCAGAAUCUACUCUUUUCUAAAUAAGUUUAUGUAUUCAAGUUUGUGUGUUUUUAAAGUUUCUUGUUUAGGAAUAUCCAAAAACUUUUUUUGGCCAAUGUAUACAUCACCACAUACAUAUGUAUCCCAGACUUUAAUGCUUGUUGUGCUGGCAGGAGUUUGGAAAUUGGAUGACUUUAGUUUGUAUAAAAUGUUUAGAGUGCAGGAGAAGACUAAAUGAUUUUUACUCCUAAUGAAACCAACAUUUUAAAAUUCAGGCAACAUGAGUACCAGCAGUCACUGUGGAAAUUAACGCCAGAGCUUUCGAUUGAUCCAGCAUUUCAAAAGCAAAUUGUUCCCUUUUCUAAAAGGUCUGUAUUUUCUGCCUCUAGUGAGCAUAUAUACAUACAUAUAAAAUAUUUACUUUAGGAAAUCAAGAAUGCAACUUUAGGAUAUAUGAUACAACCUUUUGGUCAUGAUAGAGAAGUUAGAAAUUUAAAUGUUGUUUAUGUAGUAUAAGUAUAUUAAAAAACUGCUGAAAUCAAACCCAGAGGCAGUUUAUUCAAGUUUAUUAAAAUAAAAAUAUUUUUUAUAUGUUAGAUAUUUCAGCUUUAGCAGAGGUUGAAGAAUCUGGAAUUCCAUUUCCUCUCAGUAGACUAGAGCUUGACAAACAUUCCAUGUAAAAUCCUAUUCCUACUAUACUUAAAGAGAAUGCCAUUCACAACCAUCAAAGGUAUAAAGAGCAUUCCUUGAAUCAUAACAAGCAACGACUUAGCUGUGUUUUUCUGAUGGGAAUUGCCUACAGAAUCAUAAUGCUUUACAAAUUGUCUAAUAUGUGUAUGUGUGUGUGUGUGUGUGUGUACAUCAGAAGCUGAUGGGUAUCUAUUGUCGUUUUCCUCUUGUUUUGUUUUUAAUGAUAUUUUAAGAAAUUAUUAAUUAGAGCUAUUCAUCAACUAUUACAGUUAUGCUAUCUUUAGGAACAUUAGAAAUAAGACUGUAAGUUUAUACGUCUCAGUAAUGUAUAGCAAAACCAGCACUUCAUACUAGUCAAGAAUUUGUGAAUUGGAGUCAUAGAACUGAGUUUGAGUCUUAGCUUCACCAAUUAUGAUUUAGACACAAAGUCAUAACCACUGCAAGUGUAAACAUAUAAGUCAUAUGAUUUAGAACAUUUCAAAGAGCCAUUGCAAGUCAGUAAAUAUCCAAAUAAUGUCAACACAGUCAUUUAAUUAACUCUAUAUAAAAUAUUUUGUGUAUUUUAUACUAUUUCAGAAUAUUAAUGUAUUGUUUUUUAAUAGUCAUCUCAUAAAACAUCUCUUAUUUCUCCCCAUUUUAUAGAUGAAAAAUAAGUUUAGAAAAUUAAGUUGAACUGAGCAAACAUUCUUUGAUUGUCAACCCUAUGCUGAAGGUGUUUGAAUGUGUUCCCCAAAUUCAUGUGUUGGAAAUCUAAUCUCAAAUGCAGCAGUGUUGAGAAGCGGGGCUAAUAAGAGGUGAUUGACUCACAAGGGCAGAGCCCUCUUCAAUGGAUUCAUGUUUCAUUAUCGUGGGAGUGGGUUUGCUGUUGUGAGAAUGGAUGGUUGUAAAAGUGAGUAUGCUUCUCCUUCUUGCUCUGUCUUGCACGCUUGCUUCUGCCUUCCAUCCUUCUGUCAUGGGAUGACCCUCACCAGAUGCUGAUGCCAUGAUUUUGGACUUCCCAGUUUCCAGAAUCAUAAGUUGAAUGAGCUUAUUUUCUUGAUAAAUUGACCAGUCUGUGAUAUUCCAUUGUUAGAGCAAUGGAAAAUGGUCUAAGAAAAUAGCCUACCACAGCCUAGUACCCAAAUUCCAGUGAUGUAUUAAAAAUAAGAAGUUCACAUGUGUGUUGUUUACUAAUGUAUACCUACCAAGGGUUUAGCAAAAUUUCUUGAGUGAGAUAAAUACUAAAUAGAUAUUUGAGAGCAAAAUGAAUGAAUGGAUGGAUGGAUGGAUGAUCAUAAUUAUAAUAAGAAUGGGUACUAUUUAUUAAGUAAUUUCUAAAUUAUUUUUAUGAAAGCUAAGCUAUAUUGACCAUUAACUAUAUUUAAAGUGCUAUGCUGGACCGUUUAUAAAUAUUAUCUAUUAUAAUUCUUAAAACAAUCUUGUGGAACAGAUAGGAUCCCCAUGUUAGUGAGAAGUAAACUGUAGCUUAGAGAAAUUAAGCAAUUUUUCUCAAGUUUUCAGGUAAGAAUCAGUGUUUGAACUGAGGUCUGAUUCCAAUGACAGAAUCUUGAGAUAUAUUGUCCAAUGAGAAACAGGAUCUAUGAUAUCAUAUGAUUAGAACUAAGAAUCAGUGUUUGAACUGAGGUCUGAUUUGAAUGACAAAAUCUUGAGAUAUAUUGUCCAAUGACAAACAGAAUUUAUGAGAUCAUAUGAUUAGAACUCCAUGUAGGUCCUUCAUUUACUUGGCUUGUUGAAAGGUAAUUUAACCUGAGCUCCAAUGGUUUCACCUUUAACAUAAGAAAAGUAACAUUUUCUAUGUUGUAGGAUUAUGCCGAUUAAAUCUUUGCAAAUGGAAAUGUUUUAUAAAAUACACUUUGUGGGUAAGGGGGGAUUCAAAAGAAAAUGGUUCAAGGAUUACCGAUCCAUGAAAGACUUACAGAGAAGGUAGCAUGAAGAGUGAAAAGAAGUUUUCCAAAUAAAGGAUAUGGAUUGUACAAAUAGAAAGAAAUGCAUUUAUUACAUGGCUUGAUUGGAAUAUAUGGCACAAGUUGGUCAGAUGUAGAAAAUAGAAGAAUUGAAAGUCAAUUGUGGUCUUCAAUCAUAUUUUAUUGGAUCUGGAAAAUCUUCACAAAUCAGACAAUUUCACUACAUUAAUUAAGAUUACUGUUGCUCUGGAAAGUUUGAAGAAUUUGUUGUGGUGAUGGUGGUUGUUGUUGUUGUUUGAGAUGGGGUGUCACUUUACUGCCCAGGCUGGAGUGCAGUGACUCGAUGUUGGCUCACUGCAACCUCCACCUGCCAGUUAAAGCAGUUCUCCUGCCUCAGUGUCUCGAGUAGCUGGGAUUACAGGUAUGUGCCACCAUGCCCAGCUAAUUUUUGUAUUUUUAGUGGAGACAAGAUUUCACCAUGUUGGCCAGGCUGGUCUUGAACUCCUGACCUCAAGUGAUCUACCUGCCUCAGCCUCCCAAAGUGCUGGGAUUAUAGGCAUGAGCCACCAUGCCCAUCUGAAAGUUUGAAGAAUUUGGCCCCACUUACUGUGUGCUGUGCAUUGCCACACUCAGUGCCACUGCCUGGAGUCUGGACUGUGAAGCUGACCACAUCCUCAGGGUCUCUGUGGAUUCCUAGUUUGCUUCUCAUUCUUAUUGUCUGGAUGGUCCCUGAAGGCUUUUGAGUUUCACAUUCCGAUAUAAGACGACAACUGUAUCAUUAUUAGCAUGAAUCUGUAAAAAUAUUGUGGCAAUGACAAAGUGAAAAACAAAUUACUUUGUUACUAUAGAAAUCAAGUGUUCAACAAAUCUCAGUUCCAUUCAUAUCCUUCAUUGGCAUGAUGAAAAAUUGAUUCCAUUCACUAAAUAAAAAGUUAUAUUAGUAAAGCUAAAUAUUAAUCAAAUAUUACAUCUCAGUUAUAAAACUAGUGGCAUGUAUAAGAGGGGAAUACAUGUUUAAGUUAGUUUCCAAAUUGGGCUAAGAAAGUGCAUAUGAAACACUCCCUUUUUUUUUAACUUUUUAAAAAUUAUACUUUAAGUUCUAGGGUACAUGUGCACAAUGUGCAGGUUUGUUACAUAUGUAUACAUGUGCCAUGUUGGUGUGCUGCACCCAUUAACUCGUCAUUUACAUUAGGUAUAUCUUCUAAUGCUAUCCCUCCCCACUCCUCCCACCCCACGACUGGCCCUGGUGUGUGAUGUUCCCCGCCCUGUGUCCAAGUGUUCUCAUUGUUCAAUUCCCACCUAUGAGUGAGAACAUGCAGUGUUUGGUUUUUUGUCCCUGUGAUAGUUUGCUGAGAAUGAUGGUUUCCAGCUUCAUCCAUGUCCCUACAAAGGACAUGAACUCAUCCUUUUUUUAUGGCUGCAUAGUAUUCCAUGGUGUAUAUGUGCCACAUUUUCUUAAUCCAGUCUAUCACUGAUGGACAUUUGGGUUGGUUCCAAGUCUUUGCUAUUGUGAAUAGUGCUGCAGUAAACAUACGUGUGCAUGUGCCUUUAUAGCUGCAUGAUUUAUAAUCCUUUGGGUAUAUACCCAGUAAUGGGAUGGCUGGGUCAAAUGGUAUUUCUAGUUCUAGAUCCCUGAGGAAUCACCACACUGACUUCCACAAUGGUUGAACCAGUUUACAGUCCCACCAACAGUGUAAAAGUGUUCCUAUUUCUCCACAUCCUCUCCAGCUCCUGUUGUUUCCUGACUUUUUAAUGAUCACCAUUCUAACUGGUGUGAGAUGGUAUCUCAUUGUAGUUUUGAUUUGCAUUUCUCUGAUGGCCAGUGAUGAUGAGCAUUUUUUCAUGUGUCUUUUGGCUGCAUAAAUGUCUUCUUUUGAGAAGUGUCUGUUCAUAUCCUUUGCCCACUUUUUGAUGGGGUUGUUUGUUGUUUUCUUGUAAAUUUGUUUGAGUUCAUUGUAGAUUUUGGAUAUUAGCCCUUUGUCAGAUGAGUAGGUUGUGAAAAUUUUUCUCCCAUUUUGUAGGUUGCCUGUUCACUCUGAUGGUAGUUUCUUUUGCUGUGCAGGAGCUCUUUAGUUUAAUUAGAUCCCAUUUGUCAAUUUUGGCUUUUGUUGCUAUUGCUUUUGGUGUUUUAGACGUGAAGUCCUUGCCCAUGCCUGUGUCCUGAAUGGUAUUGCCUAGGUUUUCUUCUAGGAUUUUUAUGGUUUUAGGUCUAACAUGUAAUUCUUUAAUCCAUCUUGAAUUCAUUUUUGUAUAAGGUGUAAGGUAGGGAUCCAGUUUCAGCUUUCUACAUAUGGCUAGCCAGUUUUCCCAGCACCAUUUAUUAAAUAAGGAAUCCUUUCCCCAUUUCUUGUUUUUGUCAGGUUUGUCAAAGACCAGAUGGUUGUAGAUGUGUAGUAUUAUUACUGAGGGCUCUGUUCUGUUCCAUUGGUCUAUAUCUCUGUUUUGGUACCAGUACCAUGCUGUUUUGGUUACUGUAGCCUUGUAGUAUAGUUUGAAGUGAGGUAGCAUGAUGCCUCCAGCUUUGUUCUUUUGGCUUAGGAUUGUCUUGGCAAUGUGGACUCUUUUUUGGUUCCAUAUAAACUUUAAAGUAGUUUUUUCCAAUUCUGUGAAGAAAGUCAUUGGUAGCUUGAUGGGGAUGGCAUUAAAUCUAUAAAUUACCUUGGGCAGUACGGCCAUUUUCACAAUAUUGAUUCUUCAUAUCCAUGAGCAUGGAAUGUUCUUCCAUUUGUUUGUGUCCUCUUUUAUUUUGUUGAGCAGUGAUUUGUAGUUCUUCUUGAAGAGGUUCUUCACAUCCCUUGUAAGUUGGAUUCCUAGGUAUUUUAUUCUCUUUGAAGCAAUUGUGAAUGGGAGUUCACUCAUGAUUUGGCUCUCUGUUUGUCUGUUAUUGGUGUAUAAGAAGGCCUUUGAAAAAAUUCAACAGCCCUUCAUGCUAAAAACUCUCAAGAAAUUAGGUAUUGAUGGGACGUAUCUCAAAAUAAUAAGAGCUAUUUAUGACAAACCCACAGCCAAUAUCAUACUGAAUGGGCAAAAACUGGAAGCAUUCCCUUGGAAAACUGGCACAAGACAGGGGUGCCCUCUCUCACCACUCCUAUUCAACAUAGUGUUGGAAGUUCUGGCCAGGGCAAUCAGGGAGGAGAAAGAUAUAAAGGGUAUUCAAUUAGGAAAAGAGGAAGUCAAAUUGUCCCUGUUUGCAGAUGACAUGAUUGUAUAUUUAGCCCCAUCAUCUUGACCCAAAAUCUCCUUAAGCUGAUAGGCAACUUCAGCAAAGUCUCAGGAUACAAAAUCAAUGUGCAAAAAUCACAAGCAUUCUUAUACAGCAAUAACAGAAACACUCCUUUAAAAAUGGCUGAUCUGGAUGCUUAAAAGCUUUGAGGCAAAUAAUUAUACACCAACAACCUGCAGAAAUCUUGGUAUGUGGAUGCGUUUGAGUCAGAAGAAAAAAAUGCUUCACACUGAAUACUCUGUACUUUACCAUACAAUCAAAAGAAUAAUUAUCUUUCCAUCCAGAGGAGAAGCUUCAGGUCAGUGGUUGUCAUGGAGUAGUUCAGGGGUCUCCUGCUUCAGAGUCACUGUUAGUGUUUUGUCUGAAAUACAGUCAGCAUCAGCACUGUACUUGCUUAACCCAGAUCCCUGAGAGAGAUGCCUGAGGUCUGCAUGUUUUAACAAAUUCCUCAGCUAAAAUGUAGGAAAUACUGGCUUAUUUGUAUAUUAUAAAAUUAACAUUCCAGGCUUAAUACUUAAGUAAUAUGUUGAUCUGUUCAGCAAACCACUGUGUCACACAUUUACCUAUGUAAUAAACCUGCACAUUCUGCAUAUGUACACCUGAACUUAAUAAAAGAUGGAAGAAAACAAAAAAUAACAUUAGUAUUUCAUAUUAACUUUUGUCCUUAUUGCUCCUCUUUUCCCCAUCUCUCUCCUUUUGUUCUUUUUUUAACUGAAUUACAAAUAGUUUUUCUUAGAGGAAAAUGUUAAUAUGCAUCAAAAUAAAUAUAAACAUAUUUUAGCAAUUUUAAAAUUGUUUUUAAUUGGAAGAUGAGGCAAAAAUUCUGAAGUAAACAUGUUUGUGGCUCUAAAAAGAUCAUACUUUCCAGAGUCAUCUGAAGGGCUUGUGAAAAUACAUCUCUGGGCACCACGGCAGAGUUUCUGAUUUCAUAGGUCUGGGGAGGGCCCAGAACCUACGUAUCUCACACACAUUUCCAAGUGAUGCUGAUGCCACUGGGCCAAUGACCACAUUUUUAUAUCAUUACCCUGGAUUUCCCUCUCACGUUCCAUUUCUCUCUGCUCUCUUCAGUCUCCCUCUCCCUUUUACAGGUAAUUUUCCUCUUUGCAGGAUAUUUGGUCCCCUGGUUCUCCCCAAGUCAUAAUAGAUCUUUUUGUCUCUCCCCCUCCCCAUUUCCCAUUAAUGUUAACUCUAUAUUUUCAAACAGUUUGUAGAACUGAUUUUACCUAUGUUCAAUGACAAAGACACUCCCUUAGAAGUAUUGAGCUUUUCCUGAGACCUUAACGGAAGACAUGAUCCUGGAUGGUGUCAUGUUAGGCAUCACAGACCCUCAACAAAAGACAGAUUUGGGGGUGUUGCUUUGUUGGAGAGUGUGUUUUGUUUUGUUUUCUGAAAGAUGGCCUUUGGAAUACUUCCUCAAGUCCUUUCCUGGUAAUUAUGUGAUUCACAGAAUCUCUAAUUUGAACAGUUAUUAAAGAAUAUCUUCAUUUGUUUGUGCUGCUGUAGCAAAAUACCAUACACUGUGUACUUUAUAAAGAACAGAAAUUUAUUUUCUUACCAUUCAAAAGGCAGGGAAGUCCAAGAUCAAGGUGCAGGCAUGUUCGGUUGUUGGAUGAGGGCUGCCUCCUCUGUAGGGGAGGAAGGCUGUGUCCUCUCAUGGCAGAGACCUGAAAGCCCUUUUCAGAAGGGCCUUAUCCAUUUAUGGUGAAGGAGCCUCAUGACCUAAUCACCUUCCAGGGGCCCUGUCUUUCAAUGCUGUCACUGUGGUGAUUUGGUUUUAACAUGAAUUUUGGAGGAUCUGACAUUCAAACCAUAGCAAAGAACCUACACUCACGUAAUUAUAGCACUCUGCAUUUCAAAUGUGUAAAUUUCUAUAAAUGUUUCUAACAGUCACUUUACAAACAAAAUAUGUAAAACAGAGAAAAAAGAAAGGGGCAAAACUGAGCCUCAUUAAAAGUUAUGGUUAUAACUCUCUUUUCGUGGGGAUAUUAAUUUUAGUAGAAUGAGUUAAAUAAAAGUUUAAGUCAAAAAGAGAGGCAACAGCUGCCUCCAGUCAAAGUGUCUGGUUUCUAAAUGAUGUUUUAAAUUUCCAGCUUAGCAUGUAUUCUUAAUUUUUAUAUCAUUUUUAAUAUGUUAAUGGCUACUGUUUUUAGGUUGUUUUCUUAACAGUUCUGCAACUACCUUUAAGAUGUUUUUUGAAGUCUAGGUGGCAAUAUUUUGUCUUCAGUUAAUAUAAUUGCAAUAUUACGUUAGAAACUAGCACAAAAUUAUAUUCCUGAAUAAUCUCUAAAUUGCUAACUUUUCAGGGAUUUAUAUUUUCUGAAAAUUAACAUUCUUGAGAAUUUCAUUAAUGUCCCAGGCAAAUCACAUAAAUGGACCAAACACAUGAGACAGAAAAAUUAAAGUUGAAAUGAGGUCUAUAAGAGAUUCUCAAAUAUUUGAAAUACCUCAAGUCAAAAGAUAUGAGUAUAUAAAAACUUCAUGUAAUAUAAUUUGAUUAAUUUUCCAGUAGUUUAUGGAGUAUGAUUUUGGACUAUACCACACUGUAAGCCUUAGGUUUUGUAAUAACCUGAACUCUUGAUAUUUAAGAAGAUAAAUUUCAUGUUUGUUGAUGAGGAAGCACACACCACUAGAAUGAACGCUUAUUGGAAAAGCAUUGUAACACUGAGAAAACACUAGCAAUGAAUGAUUUUUCUUCAUAGAGAAAGGAAGCAGCAAAACAGUCCAUAAUGAGAGCUCAGCCAAGGGAAACAAAAAUCAUUGAAAUUUCUUAAUAGAUUCUUUAAUACUGAUUAUUAGAUAGAAGCAUGUUUUACACUGUGGGAAUCCAUAAGAUUUCAAAGAAAAAGAUGCUGUUUUACUUUAAAAUGUUGACCUUGAAAGGCUGUAGCUUUUUAAACUCUACUUUUGUUCACUUUCUUUCUCUUUCAUUUUGUUCUUGGUUGUCUGCAAGAAACUUGGAGGAGAACCUAGCACAUCAAAGGAUUUAGUAUACAAAAGGGUAGCUUGUAAGUCAGUUAAGAAACAAAGCAUUUUCUAUUAAAUGCUUCUAGGAUAACUCACUAUUUGAGAGAAAAUUUUCAAGUUAGGUAAGUAUGCAAAUUCAGCUGCGUUAUGAACUUGAUUGUGAAAAAGCCAUGUUAGUCAUCUAGAAAACAAAUACGUAAAUAGAAGAUUGCAAAAUGGCAGAGAAGUUUAUAAGCAUAAAAUUAAUUUUUAAAAAUUCUAAGGGGAGUAUCAGUAGAUAAUACUUCACAUGACACAAAACUUUGGCAUAUCUAACACCAUCAUAAAAAAGAUGCAAAUGAGAAGCUGGAAAAAUUACUUGCAACACGUAUUCCAGUCAAACAACAACAAAAGAAGAUGAGCAUACUGAGAUAAAAGUGGAAAAAAAUACAGACAGACAACUCAUAAAAUGAAAAAAAUACAAACAUUUAAUGUGAGUUUAACUAAAAUGUACUGGUUUUGAUGUUGAAUAAACUGGGAAAAUUAAUAAGAUAAUAUUGAUGAUUAGUGUCACUGAUUAUAUUAGACCAUUCUUGCAUUGCUAUAAAGGAAUACCUGUGAUUGCAUAAUUUAUAAAACAAAGAGGUUUAAUUGGCUCAUGAUUCUUCAGGCUUUAUAGGACCCAUGGUUCUGGCAUCUGCUCGGCUUCUGGGGAGUCCUCAGGAGCUUACAAUCAUGGUGAAAGGUGAAGAAGGAACAGUCUUUGUCACGUGACCAGAGCCAGAACAAAAGAGAGAGAGUUGGGGGUAAGGUGCCAUACACUCAGAAGAAGAGCUCACUCAUCACCAAGAGGAUGGCCCAAGCUAUUCAUGAGGGAUCUGCCUCCGUGAUCCAAAUACCUCCCAAAUCUCCUGUUGAAGUGUAAUCCCCACCUCCAGCAUUGGGGAUUACAUUUCAACAUGAGAUUUGGAUGAGGACAAAUAUCCGGACUCCAUCAGUGGUCAAGAACUUUUUAUUUCUGGAGAGCUAUGUUAAAAUAUAUGUUAAAAGUCCAUCCUCUUUAGUUCUGUAAUUCCUAAUAUAGGAAUGCAUCCUAAUAAAAUAUCUCAGAUGUAUAUAUAUAUAUAUAUGUGAAUGACAAUGUUCAGCAGAGUUCUUUUUUAGGGUACAAAGACUAUCCCUUUAACAGUUUUUACAUAACUAAAAUGUUUCCACUAAAAAUCACAAUAAAAAUCGUCAGUGUUCUUUUCACAUUUCAGGCAAUCCUGCUGGUUUUCAUAUUAUUUUUAAAACUUUAUAAGGAGAAUGGUGAAAAUAGUUCAUAUAUAACUUAGAUGCUUGUUCUUUCUAUAUUGUCAGCUGCUUUUCACAAAUGAUUAGCCUCAGCUCUGGACAGAUUUCAGCUUACAUCAAUAUGAUGUAAGUGAUACUAUGUUUUCUCUAUAGCUGUGGUGAUUUGCAAUAUUAUUUUUGCCUCCUAUUUGUCAUGUAGUACCUGCUGGGCUGCCUCAACAGAUAGUAUUUGUACAAUGGCAUUUUUGUGUGGAAUGAGUCCAUCUUCUGCAUACAUCCACAUGUUAUGAAUAUACUAAAAUGAUCACAGGUCAUACAUAAAAAUCUUGUCAUUUAAAAAAAAUCUUACAAAUAUUAAAUUUAGAGGAAUGUCUUAGAUUUUGCUUCAGUCUAUAUGGAUAUACUUCAUUCAUUCAGCAAGUAAUUUGCUGAGCACUUACUAUGUAUGAUGUUUUCAUGGCUCUGGGGAUAUAGUAGAUGAUCAAGUAGCUUAAAAGUAUCCAUGCUAGUGGUGGAUAUAGGUAGUAAAUAGGAAACAAAUAUAAAAAUAAUUAUGGAUUGGGAUAUAUGCUAUGAAGUAAACAAAGGCAGACUAUCUUGCUAGGAUGGAGGUUUUGUCUUUGGACAGAGCUUUUAGGCCUCCUUAAGUAGAUGACUGAGCUAUAAAGCAUAAGACUGAGCCUGCCUCAUUAAUAGGCAGGAGAGAGUGUCCCAGGGUGGAGAGAGAACAAGGUAAAGGUGCCCAGGUGGGGAUUUGAGGGUUGGAGCUAAGGGAGCCCAUAUUGCUGAAUAAGAGUGAGCUGUGGAAAGAAGGCAUGAGUUAGCUAUAGAACCCUUGCUUCUUAUUCUUACUCUUGGGUAUUAACAGUCAUCUUCCUCUUGAAAGCUGAGAAUAGCAGUUUAGGCAGAUUGUGAGUUUGGCUUUGGUUCUUUAUGGAAAGAUACCUUGGAGUCCCAUGGCCACUAGAUGAAGGGAUGUCAAGCAUUGUAACUAGCCAACUGCAUCCCUACCAUGGAUAGUUUCCAACAUUCUGUUGCUCUUAGAAAGUCCUGAGACAUCAUCCUUUCCUUCAGGUGAUGCCCGUUCCUCUCUCACAUGGCAGUCAGAGCUUACGGAAGAUCUAAAAAAAGGAAAAAGAUGUAAUUAAUUCAUCACAUCUUCCAAUCAUCACACACACAUUGCAAUGGGAGCCAAGCUGGUGAAUGGUUGGCUACUGUCCUGCGGGGCCAUCUUGGAAGAGCUGGAAGUCAGCCUUGCUGGCCUUUUAUCUGGAAGUCCAGAUUAGACCACUGAAUUGCACACAUCUAGGACAUAUAGUGUGAAUAUUGAGGGUUGUAUGAAAAGUCAAAAGCAGAAAGUUUGAGGAACAUCUAAGAUUACCAAAUAAUUUGCUGUUUCAUUAAUGUACUUUGCUUGCUUAAAUCUCCGUUUUCAAAUUCCCUUUCUGCCAUCUGGGGCAUUCUCUUUCCUGACUGCCUACCCAAUUGCUACUCAUCUUUUUUAUCUGAAGGCCUGGAUCGGUGAAGUGAUUCUGAAAGUCAUACAACUUGUUAAUACCAGAGCUAUGGUCUCGUUUCUCUGCUCUUGAAUAAUUAUUCACUAUGCAGGUAUUCACCCAUUCCUUCACUUGCUGAGAGUCAGCCAGCCAUAUGCUAAGCACUGAGAGAACUAACAUGGUUAAGACAAAGUCUCCAGCAUUAGGCUUCUCUCUCUCUGGUGGGAAGAUCUUGUUAAGCAAAUGAAAUAGAACAUAAAUGAAUGGAUAAAGCUCUGGUCAGGGUGCCGUGGGAAAACAGAGGUGAGACUGAGUAACACUGUAGAAAAGGUCCAAAAUUCAUACUUUUAUUGGAAAAUAAGCAGGGUUAGCCAGGAAGAGGAACACGUUUCAUGGGCAGAGGCCAUGUACCUAACAGUUCAUGAUAGAAAGAAUUGUGUCCUUUUCUGUUUAUUAAAAGAUUUCAUUGUGCUUUUGUUUCUUUGGUUAUUUGGUAGCAGUAUUUGGUCUCUUUGGUUCUUUAACUGAUUGUGCUGGGUCCUUUACUGUACGUAUUAAUGAAUCGUCGUGAUGACAAGCAAUCUUUUCAAUGACUCUUCUACCUACAUCAGAGACUCCUGACAUCAGCUUGUAUCAGGAGGCUGUCUCAUCCACUGUCCUUCUCUGAUGGGGUAAUUCCUCAGGACCUACUAUGUUAUCUAUGUUGACCCAAAUUUAUUCUCAGUUCUGGCUUGCGCACCUGGAGAACAGGCCUUUAUCCCUUGAUGCCUGCCGGAUGCUUGACACCUUUGAAAUUAGGCAAUUCCCCUCGAGGCUUGUUUUAGAGAGAGGGUUUUGGAGCCUGGGAUAAUUUGAAUAAUUUCAUAAUGUAAAAAAGAAACAAAAGUUUAUGUGACCCAGUCAGUGAAUUCCUCUUUAAAGGGACAUGUUUUAAUCUAAAAGAACGUAUGAAUCCAUUAAAGGUUACAAGUAACUGAUAUGUCACACAGUUACUUGUUAGAAUAUAUUUAUAUAGGCUUUUGUUUUAACCAGAAUAUAUAGUUUUAACUUACUUAUUAUGACAUAACGUUUAUUAUGACAAAGUUUCUGUUAUUUACAUGAACAUAUUGGCCCCAUUGUGGAACUAUUUUUUUUUCUAAUAGGUCUAACAUGUUAAUUUUAAAAAUUGCUAUUACCAACAUGCAGAUUAUGGUAUUACUGUCCAGAUUAAUUGCAGAGACCAUUUUCAGUUAUCUUUACCAAAUAAUUGACUAUUUAAGCAUGUUUAUGUUUAUAUAUACUCGCAUUUUUAUAGCAGUGGGUGUUCUUUCAGUUAUAUUCCUAAUGACAAUUCAUUUUGUCAGAUAUGUUUAUAUUACUUUGUAGUAAACUAACUUCUUUUGAAAUACAAGAAUUCUUUUUAAAUAAGAAAAUUCAGUUAGGCUUUGUAUUAGUUUGUUUUCACACUGCUGAUAAAGACAUACCUGAGACUGGGUAAUUUAAAAGGAAAAAGAGGUUUAAGGGACUCACAGUUCCACGUGGCUGGGGAAGCUUCACAAUCAUGGCAGAAGCAGAAAGGUACGUCUUACAUGGCAGCAGACAAGAGAGAAUGAGACCCAAGCGAAAGAAGUUUCUCCUUAUGUAAUCAUCAGAUCUUGUGAGACUUAUUCACUCCCAGGAGAACAGUAUGGAGAAACCACCCCCAUGAUUCAAUUAUCUCCCACCGGGUGGCUCAGACAACACAGAAUUGUGGGAGCUACAAUUCAAUAUGUGCUUUGGAUGGGGCACAGCCAAACCAUAUCAGACUUUACGUGCCCAGAGCAUUUUAAAUUGAGGCGUAUAAAUCUGUAUUUAAUUAUCAGCCAUGGAAAACGUGUAUGUUUGUGUUUGUGUGUGCAUACUUGCAUGCCCCAUGCAUAUGCGUAAUUAAAACGUUUUACUGUUUUAAUUAACUCUUUGAAAACUAAAGAUUUAAACUUCCAAAAUCGAACAUAUCUAUGCCAUUCUCAGAGCUUUUUUUCUUCUUCUGGCCUGUCAGAAUUUCUCUGUUCAUGUUCCCAAAGAUAUCCCCUGAACGCUUCGCUGAUGUUAAUUUAUCACAAAGGAGCCAAGCCAAAACGUUGAAAACUCUUCCAUAUUCAGCAGUGGGGAAUUGUCUACACAAAUUAAAGAUAGGUACUACCAACCUUCCAGACACCAAGACUUGAAAACUAAGAGCAGCCACCCUUAAGAAGGCAAUCUCUCCUGCUCCAACCGUUACCUCAUUGACUAGACUUGACAACUGGAACUCUGUAUCAGUGAUUCCCAAGAAAGGUUGGAGUUGGAUAUGCAUAUAAAAUUGUGGGGUGGGGGGAGGGGGGAAGGAUAGCAUUAGG